UUGACCUCGAAUCAGGUAGGAAUACCCGCUGAACUUAAGCAUAUCAAUAAGCGGAGGAAAAGAAACCAACAGGGAUUGCCCCAGUAACGGCGAGUGAAGCGGCAACAGCUCAAAUUUGAAAUCUGGCCCCCCGGGGCCCGAGUUGUAAUUUGCAGAGGAUGCUUUUGGCGAGGCGCCUUCCGAGUUCCCUGGAACGGGACGCCAUAGAGGGUGAGAGCCCCGUCUGGUCGGACGCCGAGCCUCUGUAAAGCUCCUUCGACGAGUCGAGUAGUUUGGGAAUGCUGCUCUAAAUGGGAGGUAUAUGUCUUCUAAAGCUAAAUACCGGCCAGAGACCGAUAGCGCACAAGUAGAGUGAUCGAAAGAUGAAAAGCACUUUGAAAAGAGGGUUAAACAGUACGUGAAAUUGUUGAAAGGGAAGCGCCUGUGACCAGACUUGCGCCCGCCGGAUCACCCAGCGUUCUCGCUGGUGCACUCCGGCGGGCACAGGCCAGCAUCAGCUCGUCUCGGGGGACAAAGGCGGCGGGAACGUGGCUCCUCCGGGAGUGUUAUAGCCCGCCGUGCAAUGCCCUGGGGCGGGCUGAGGACCGCGCGUACGCAUGGAUGCUGGCGUAAUGGUCAUCAGCGACCCGUCUUGAAACACGGACCAA
rnacentral:rRNA from 1 species